UACUUGAUAAGCGGCAAUUCUUUUGAGAAGCUGAAUUUCCUUCUGAAUAGGUUCUAUCUACAGUAUACGUAACAUAAAAUGCUAUCUUCCUUAUAAAAAAGAAAAAAUGCAUAUCAUAUUCCUUAAUCAAAGAUUUAUUCAUUUUGGUAGCAUAACAAACCAAAUCAACCAAAAUCAAAAUAUUACAUUGGAACAUUUAACAUGAAAAUAAAUUAGUGCACUGUCUCUUAGCAGCAUAAUAAAAUAAAUUCUGAAAAGUAAAUAAGGUGUCACAUGUGGACUAUUGGGAGCAUUUCUAAUCCCCCUUAAACUGGGAAAUGGGACAAUAUCACAAUAACAUUAGUAAAAAAAAAAAGGACUGAACUGUCGUAGCUCUAGUCAACCUAAAAUAUAGGCUGCCUGAGGAUAGAGGUGUGUCUUCGUAAAACAAAACAAAAACAUCCCUAUUUUGAACUCAGCCUUCUUCCUCGCGUAGCUUGCUUCCACGCGGGUGGUUAUGGUUCUUCUAGAGGGGAUAUUGUGCCCUGGCUCGAUGAACUUUAUUACCUCUCGAAAUCCCUGUCCGUCAACAACAUUUAUCGGCAGCAGGUCUGUAGUAAUCAUGUUACAGAUCCACUGGGUAAUGCCCUCUGCUUUUGUGGAGUCACAUACCCUUCGUCCCAACGCUGUGGUGAUUAUAGGCUGAGAUUGAGAACCACUCGCUGCUUGUAGCACGGCUGAAUGUGACACAUUUAGGUGGUAAUUCAACGAAGUCGUGGAGUUGUUGUACUUUAAAAUACUUUCACAUAUUGUGCAUUUGGCGUCUUUGUCGUCAUUAACCAACUUAAAGUGGCUCCAUACUGCACUCCGGUUUGCCCUCUUCAUCGUGUCAGUGUCCCGCUUUUCGUUUGUCUUGUCCUGCUUCGCUUGUGUUACCGCGGUGCGUCAAGUACGUCUGGCGUCAAGCGCGCCCUCACGUGGACUGGUGGGGAAUUACGGGAUAAUCGAUUAAUUGUUUGCUUCCCUAGUUGUAAACAUGGGUCCAAAUGUAUCCCGUGUGUUUGACUUUCAUAUAUGUGGUCAUGUUCUUCAUCAUCUGUCACCUGGGGGGUAUACCACGAACACCCAGGCUUUCUUGGGAAAACCUGGCUCGACAGAGCCGCAACUCGCAAUCAGAGUUAAAUGGUACCACGAAGCUCACUUUAGAUUCAAUUAGUUGAACCAGGUUUUCAGCUUUAGGUUCAGUGCGCGUUCACUUGAAAGGGGCGUUUUUUGCGUCAUUUUUCUCACCUUUACGAUAGAUCAAGCAGUCUAUAUGUGUAUAAGGGAAAAGAUUCUGCAUAUUGUCUAUAAAAUAACAGCUAAAUGCAGAAUUGUUCGCCAUUAAUCCAAAUAGAAUGAUGAUGAUUUAAAAAUGCAUAAGCAACGUCCAUCCUGCCUUAUUCUAUCAUUUAGGGAAUUCACUUUAAAUACACCCAAUGUAAGAAAUGUAUCGCAUGUUAUCAACCUCUGAGAGGUAGCGGCUGUAGCGUAGUGGAUUAGUAUAAGACCCGAACACCAGCGACCGGGGUUCAAAUUCGACGGUCUAUCAUCAUGCAUUUUACCCCCAUAGAUGUGGUGCCAGCACGGCCUUGAAAAUAUGGGUUCAAGUUCGAAAUAAGCACAAAAAUAUAAUUCCAUAAGCUUUAGUGAAUAGGCAUUCCAUAUGCAUGAGAAUUGGGACUUUUUAAGCUUCACAUGAAUUCGCGUCACUUGGGAGUCGAACCCCCCGCGCAGAAAUUGAAGACUGACGCGCUACCUCCACUCUAGCACUCUGUCACGGAGACACAAUGCGCAACAGUAAGCAUUGUCUACAUAAGGUCCAAAAGGAGUCUGAAAUCUGAAUAUCGUCAGACAAUGCCAAGGGAUCGGUUCUGUCCCGUAAAACCCUCUGUCACCGGAGAGACGCCUGUACGAGAAGUGCGCCAAGGUCCACGGGAACACCCACAAACGGUGACGCCAUUGUCAGAGGAGGGGCUAGGAAGCUGCGCACGCCGAUUUAAGUAGCCGAUCUCCGGCUAGACUAAGCCGAAAAACUGCUCCCGACCAGGUUUGGUUGCCAGCAUAAGUCACCAUGGUGAUACAGCAACGCCAAAAGAGAUCGACUUUCAUGGUACAACUAACCCAGGCUUUGAGCUCAACAUACCUCGCUAACCCUCUAAGCGAGCUUCGUGGUACAGGCCCCUGGUCUGAUUGAGUUGUAAUGUCAAUAGUGUUACUGCUUUCAGGUGCAGAUGUAGUGUCAUUAACUGGGUUGCAUUCUUUCAAAACAGAACAUGUAUCUUUUUGCAAGGGAUUUUCCCAUUCAGUGUUAAAGUCUAUGUUCUUAUACCAUUUAUUGAUGUCCUUUAAACAUGCUAUUGCAUUUUGGAUUUUUUGAGUGUGCACAUAUUGAUACUGAUAAUUGCCCUUAUAACUAAGUUUUCUUUUCAGUUUUAUUCGUAUCAUUAAAUCUUGAUUUUCUAGCCUUGGGAGAACCGAAGUGACUACAUUGUUGUUUGAUGGAACGCACGUCACCGGGCCAUGGACAGAAUUCUGAGAACCUUGUGGCAAUGCCUCAAGUCGCAUAAAGGGAAUGUGCACAGGUGUUGUUCUAAUGAGUUCAGUGUGCGUAGUUCAUCAGGAAUUGGAUCUAAUUCCAUAUUGUUCACAGCACUCUCCUGGGGAACCUUACCACUGAGUAUCUUGGUGUUGCAAUUGAAACAUAUCCACAAUUUCCCAGCAACUGUCUGAUUUAGUGUGCAUGGCGAUAAACAUGGAUUAUCACAUUGAUGGAGAUAUGUUGUAGCAAUGCAUUGUUUUGCAAUUGCUGACACAGUUGAAGCCUUGGAUUCAUAUGAAGUUAUGUCACAUAAUUUUACUUGCUUUCGGAACAAUAAUCUGUGACAUGUACAACAAACAUGUUCUGGUCCAUGUUUGACCUCAUCUUGGAAAAGCUAAAUUACAAAGUCAAUAUUGUGUUUUAAGAGGGUUAGAUUAAGUCUCUUUUGACAGUUUCUUUCAAUUAAAGAGGGCUUAUAAGCUGGAUCUGUUACAGUUAGCGGUGCAGGCAGGCAGGUAGGACCCAGAUGCAGACGGUUUAGGGAGAACAGCACUUUAUUUCUGCCAAAAGGCUAAGGCAAGGGCCAAGGGGCAAGGAGCAAGGGAACACAGGUGACAACAGAGAACACGCAGGACGAACUAACCACAAUGACAGCAAGAGGAACAAAGGAAAGACAAGGGCUUAAGUAGCAAACGCAACGAGGAACAGCUGAGACACAUUAGGGGAGGGAGCAGUUAUCAACACAGGAGGGAAACACACCAAAACACGACACAGACCAUGACAGUACCCCCCCCCUUAAGGGUAGACUCCUAGGCGACCCACGACAAGCGCAAAAAAAACAACAACGAAGAAAGUCAAACCCAAAACGGGUGGGUGGAGGGGAGCCAGGAGGAGGGAAUCAAAAAAAAUAAAUGGACUGGGGCAGAGCGGAGGGGUGUCAGGCGGGCGGCCAGAAAACUGCCCCAGGGCAUGGCAGGAAGCCUCAGGCGGACGGCCUGGGGGGCAAGCAGAGGCAGAGUGAAGGGGGAACCCUUCAGGAGGCCGGCGGCAAGGAUGAUGAGGGCUCAGUCCCUCAGGAGGCCUGCAACGGCAAAGAAACCCCUCUGAAGGCGGAACCCUUCAGGAGGCCGGCGAAGACGAGGUAGAGGGCGGGGCCCCUCAGGAGGAAGGCCAGGUAGAGGGCGGGUCCCCUCUGGAGGAAGGCCAGGUAGAGGGCAGACCCCCUCUGGAACGCGAGGUAGAGGGUGGACCCCCUCUGGAAGGCGGGACCCCUCAGGAAGGCAAGGUAGAGGGCGGGUCCCCUCUGGAGGAAGGCGAGGUAGAGGGCAGACCCCCUCUGGAAGGCCAGGUAGAGGGCGGGUCCCCUCUGGAGGAAGGCCAAGUAGAGGGCGGACCCCCUCUGGAAGCCAGGACCCCAGAGGCAGGAGCGGAGGGCGUGCCUCCCCUGGACGGUCUGGAGGGCGGGCCCCCUCCGGCAGGAGCAGAGGCCGGACCUCCUCUGGAAGGAGCAGGGGGCGGACCUCCUCAGGCAGGAGAGGAGUGGUCUCAGGAACCGGACAGGGCUCGGGGACCGGAGUCAGUGCGGGAGCUGGAGUGCCAGGAGGAACCGGGUAGUACCCCAAACUCACCACCCCCACUCUGAUUGUCCGUAAAGGAGGAGGCUGGUAGCUGAGGACCAGGGACAGAGGCUGGUAGCUGGGGACCAGGGGCAGAGGUUGGUAGCGGGGAACCGGGGGCAGAGGCUGGUAGCUGGGGACCGGGGCAGUGGCUGGUAGCGGGAGCGUGGAGGCUUAGGCCGGUGGCAGUGGCAUGUAGCUCUCCGGCCAAAAGGUUGUGGGGUUG
ensembl:lncRNA